UAGUUAAAUUUGGCUACUUAGAAAAAUUACAUCUAAAUUCUUUAUAAAAAAUAUAAAUAACAUUUGAGUUUAGAAGAUUAAAUUUAUUUAAUAAUAAACAUUAUUGAUAUUUAGAUAGAUCUCUAGUUAAUUUUGUGCCAGCAACAGCGGUUAUACAAAAAGAGAUUUUUUUAAGUUAAAAACUUAAUUUUUUAAUUUAAAAUUAAAAUAGUUUAAAAGUUAAGGUGAAAUUUAACUUAAAUAAAUUUAAUUUUAAAUAAAGUAUAAAUUCAUUUAAUAAACUAGGAUUAGAUACCCUAUUAUUUAGAAAAGCAUAUUGUAAGUAUAUAUAGUAUAUGAAAACAAAAAAUUGUGGCGGUAUUUUAAGCUUUUCAGAGGAAUUUGCUCUUUAAUGGAUAAAACACCAAAAUCUUACUAAAAUUAGUCAAGUCAGUUUGUAUACCACUAUUUAAGUAAUAAUUCGUAAUUAUUACUAUAAUUUAAUAUAUAAAAAAAGUUAAGUCAAGGUGCAGCAAAAAUUUUAGAAUGAAGUGAAUUACAUUUCUUUUAAGAGGGAAUAAAUGAAAUAAAAAAUUUAGGAUUUGAAAGUAAAAUUUUAAUAAAAUGAAAAUUUGAAUUAAGCUCUAAAAUAUGUACAUAUCGCCCGUCGCUCUUUUAUGAAGAUAAGUCGUAACAAAGUUAAAGUACUGGAAAGUGCUUU
rnacentral:ncRNA from 1 species